GAUACCCUAUUAUUAUAAAUAUUAAUUUAUUUCCCUGAUUACUAAGAGUUAAGUUCUUCAAAAUUAAAAAAUUUGGCGGUAUUUUAGUCUUUCAGAGGAACCUGUUUUUUAAUUGAUAAUCCCCGAUAAUUUUUACUUUUACUUUAAAUUUAUAUAUCGUCGUUUGUAAAAAUUUUAGGAGAAUAAUAAUUUUUAAGAUUUUUAAUUAAAUUGGAUUUCAGAUCAAGGUGUAGUUUAUGUAAAAGUUAGAAUGGGUUACAUUAUAUUUAUAUUUGGUAUUUUAUUUUAAAAGUAAAAUUAAAUUGGAUUUGAUAGUAAAUUUUUUAUUUAUGAAAAUUGAUUUAGCUCUAAAAUAUGCACACAUCGCC
rnacentral:rRNA from 1 species